rnacentral:rRNA from 1 species
AUUGAACGCUGGCGGCAGGCCUAACACAUGCAAGUCGAGCGGAUGACGGGAGCUUGCUCCUUGAUUCAGCGGCGGACGGGUGAGUAAUGCCUAGGAAUCUGCCUGGUAGUGGGGGACAACGUUUCGAAAGGAACGCUAAUACCUCAUACGUCCUACGGGAGAAAGCAGGGGACCUUCGGGCCCUGCGCUAUCAGAUGAGCCUAGGUCGGAUUAGCUAGUAGGUGAGGUAAUGGCUCACCUAGGCGACGAUCCGUAACUGGUCUGAGAGGAUGAUCAGUCACACUGGAACUGAGACACGGUCCAGACUCCUACGGGAGGCAGCAGUGGGGAAUAUUGGACAAUGGGCGAAAGCCUGAUCCAGCCAUGCCGCGUGUGUGAAGAAGGUCUUCGGAUUGUAAAGCGCUUUAAGUUGGGAGGAAGGGCAGUAAGCGAAUACCUUGCUGUUUUGACGUUACCGACAGAAUAAGCACCGGCUAACUCUGUGCCAGCCGCCGCCGUAAAAC